GAGAUAGGAAUGACGGGACAUGCCUGGCUCCCUGUAUGCCACUCGGCAACACCAAUCUAGCUAAUAGACAGAUCGGCUGAAUCGUGUGGCGUAUGCGGAGUCAAGCAUGUCGAACACCCAUCUUCUUUUUUCG
rnacentral:miRNA from 1 species